GCUUGUCUCAAAGAUUAAGCCAUGCAUGUCUAAGUAUAAGCCUUUAUAUGGUGAGACUGCGAAUGGCUCAUUAAAUCAGAAACUGUUUAUUUGAUAGUGCCUACUACAUGGAUACCUGUAGUAAUUCUAGAGCUAAUACAUGCAAAAAGCCUGGACUUCUGGAACAGGCGUAUUUAUUAGAAUGAAACCAAUCGGCUUCGGCUGUAUUGUGGUGAGUCAUAAUAUCUAAUCGGAUCGCAGAGGCUUCGGCCGGCGAUGAAUCAUUCAAGUUUCUGCCCUAUCAGCUUUCGAUGGUAGUGUAUUGGACUACCAUGGCGGUGACGGGUAACGAAGAAUAAGGGUUCGGUUUCGGAGAGGGAGCCUGAGAGAUGGCUACCACAUCCAAGGAAGGCAGCAGG
rnacentral:rRNA from 1 species